UUUUUUAAAUCAAGAAAUUCACAAAAGCUCUGACGAAGGCAGUGAGACUGAUAUGUAAACUUAUUAAACAUCAGUGAUACUAUCAAGAGCUGUGAGGGAACUAUGUACGCAACCGGAUAGAAGUCACGCAGUAAUCCUUUAUAUGAUUUUGUGGCUGUGGGAAUUAUUAUUGUCUGAGCUAGAAUCAAAUCAUGUUGCGAACUAUGUAAGCAACCGGAAAGAGUAAUCCUUUGUAUGACUUUGUGGCUGUGACGACUACCAUAUUUGGCUCGCUGACAAACAAACGCCAGUACUUGAACUGCGUAGCAGCAUAUCAGAGUAAUCCACGCAGAAAUGGAACCGAAAUCACAGAAAAUAUAGUAGACGUUGUGGUGGCAGCUGUAGAGAGGUAUUUGGGUAUACGCGAUUUGUGUUCAGAGGAGUUACAGGGUGUGUUGAGUGGUGGUGACCCAUGUUAAAAUUAUUCCAAUUGUAGCCUGUUUCCUUGCGUAGGCUAACGUUGCUUGGUUGUACAUCCUCAAUUCUGGAACUGCAAAUGUAACGUUAUUAUUCUUAUAUGGGUUAGAAUGAAAUGUCCGCAACAGGAAGAGAGUCAUGCAGUAACCCUUUUAGCCACAACUUCCUAAGAAAAGCUGUGGCCUACAUGUGAUGUACAGCUGUUUACAGUUUUUUUUUUACAAUUGCUUACACACUAAAGUGGUACUUGAGGCACACUCAGUGAAACCAAGUCAUGUGCCUAAUCUUCAGACCAAGUCUGCAAAACUGCAAGCACUUUAUCUGCUUUACAUUCAGUUUGCAAUUGUAAAGCACUUUUUGCAAAACAUUCAAAUCAGAGCUUGGGGGGGCAAGGACGAGGAGAACAAUCACAAAUGAGAUAUGGGCUGUUUUGGUUGAGUUUCAGGGAGGCUAGGCAGAGGGUCCAGCCUAACUUGAGCCGCUACACUGCAGCAAGUGUCGUUCGGAGAACAGAAUUGCUAGACAACCCUUCAAUGGUGGAAGAAACUGGCUGUUCACUGCAGAGCAGGACCAACACAGUGAAUAUGGUCAUUUUAAACAACCGCAUACGUUAAUGACAACUGCAACCCCACAUCAUCACUGACAACACAACAUUCAGUAACAUAGUGUGAGUUUAUCCGCACUUGGCCGUCUCCUGAAACGCCAUCAGAUUUGUAUGAAGCAGCUCUACAGAGUACCAUUUGAGCGAAAUUCUGACAGUGUGAAACAACUGCGCUAUGAGUACGUACAAAGGAGAGGCGAGAAGGAUCGGAGGACCAAAAUGCGGCGU